rnacentral:rRNA from 1 species
GAAACUCACCAGGUCCAGACAUAGGAAGGAUUGACAGAUUGAGAGCUCUUUCUUGAUUCUAUGGGUGGUGGUGCAUGGCCGUUCUUAGUUGGUGGGGUGAUUUGUCUGGUUAAUUCCGUUAACGAACGGGACCUUAACCUGCUAAAUAGUUACGCGAAUCCCGAUUCGCGGCUAGCUUCUUAGAGGGACUGUUGGUGUUCAACCAAAGUCAGGAAGGCAAUAA